GCCCGGCUAGCUCAGUCGGUAGAGCGUUAGACUCUUAAUCCAACGGUCGUGGGUUCGAGCCCCACGUUGGGCG
rfam:Ciona savignyi cont_35470, whole genome shotgun sequence.